rnacentral:rRNA from 1 species
UUCGAUUCUGGCUCAGGACGAACGCUGGCGGCACGCCUAACACAUGCAAGUCGAACGGUGAUUUGGAGCUUGCUUCCAAAUCAUAGUGGCGGACGGGUGAGUAACACGUGAGCAACCUGCCUCUGAGAGAGGGAUAGCUUCUGGAAACGGAUGGUAAUACCUCAUAACAUAGCUGGACCGCAUGAUCCGGUUAUCAAAGAUUUAUCACUCAGAGAUGGGCUCGCGUCUGAUUAGCUAGUUGGUGAGGUAACGGCCCACCAAGGCGACGAUCAGUAGCCGGACUGAGAGGUUGAACGGCCACAUUGGGACUGAGACACGGCCCAGACUCCUACGGGAGGCAGCAGUGAGGGAUAUUGCACAAUGGAGGAAACUCUGAAUGCAGCGAUGCCGCGUGGAGGAAGAAGGUUUUCGGAUUGUAAACUCCUGUUUCGAGGGACGAUAAUGACGGUACCUCGGGAGGAAGCUCCGGCUAACUACGUGCCAGCAGCAGC